rnacentral:tRNA from 1 species
AAAACUUAUUGAUCUCUAUCCUUCUUACUUACCCAAUUUCCAGAUUGAUUAUCUUCCCGGCUUAGUAUUAGAUAUAAAUAUACC